AAGGAAGUAAGUCCCAAAGAGAUCUUUGAUGAAAUCGAUUGCUUACAGACUAUCCUGAAUCUGAAAUGGUUAAAAUGAAAGGGUGAGUUUUCAUAAACUCAGUGAGUAAACAAAGUCUGUCAUUAACUUCUAAAGCCGAGUAAAUAGAGACAGUUAACUUUUCAUCAUACUAUAAUCCACAACAUUUUGUACUUGUUUCAAAUCAUAUAAAACAACACAUUUCAUUAUAAUACUCAUCACGACUUAUGAUUUUCUUAAAAACUUGGCUCGUGCCAAAAAUCAUACUCGGUGAUACCUUGGCCGAGGCAUUCAACUGAGUCCGCCAAGGUUAUUAAGUUAACAACUACUCAUAAAAACAUAGUUUACCCAUUUCUUGGCGUUGGUAGAGUUCAUCCUCAAGUGGUGGUUUGGCGUGAAGUGAACUCUAUCGUACCUUAGGAGAUAUCCUUCGCGCCUCUCAUACUAAGGUAAUUAUAACGGGAUUUAUCGUGCCCCUCUAGUAGGCUGGUCCACAGAAACCCACCUAUUGUAGUGGCUAAUUAAAUAACCCACUAAUCAAUAAAAUUUUGACAGCAUAACGUGGCUAACUUAAUACUACCCAGCUUGUCAAAGGAAAACAAACAGUUUAUAUAUUUCACAACCCAAAAACCCAGCCACAUAUGUCAUCACGUAUCAGUUCAUAAAUCAUCAAUUCCAAACAUAGGUACGUAAACUUAAAUAUAUAGGCAACAUCAAAGGUUGGUCUCCACAUACUCACAUUUUUUUUAAAAAAAACAUUAUUGAAUUGUAAAAUAAGUCAUAAACCUUAUUCCUUAAAUCGAUUAUUAGUCAUAAAACAUAAAAUUCAUUUAGGUUCAAUAUUCUUAAAAUCAUAAAAACGAUUGUAAAAAUACUCUAGAUAAAUAAGAUGAACAGUGGUUACUCACUUUGACGGGAAUUUACAACACUCAUAGUCUUGAUCCUCAAGUGCAAUACCUUUGCUCUUAUCCGAGGGCUCACCACCUAUACAUAAUGUGCAACAGGAAAUUUAAUAUUCUUAUGCUACAUUGUCACAAAACUAUUCUAUAUUCUAUAUGAAUGCAUGCAAUGAAAUGGGAGGUCUUUGGCGUAUCGCGCACUAUACACUAUUUAAUCGGUCUAAACGUCCAAUUCGGUUCCAAUUAAUUUAUUGCACUUCCAAUACUCCCCAAAAUUUCACACACUUCAAUAAAAAUCUAUUCUAAGUGCAAUUACCAAAAUAUCCCUCAUUAUUGUGCAAAUUGCUAACUAACGGGAGUAAAAUUUUUUGGUACCCGUUUUCGAUUUUCGAUAUUCCUAAGCACCAAAUACAAUCUAAAGGGCAUGAAAAACUACCAAAUUCAUCAUCAAACCUCACCCAUAAAAUUCGGCCAAGAUAGGUUCUAUUAUGGGCAUGUGGAUUUCUUGCUUAAUUUUCAUACUAAAUGUUACUAAACACCUAAAAACAUUAAGUUACCUUGAAAUUCAACUAAAUGCAUCACCAACUUUCUCUCUCUAAAUUUGGCUAGCAUAUUGCCCCUCAUGAAAACUUGAAUUUAAUUCAUGGAAAAUGGAAAGGAAUGCAUGGGCAAGAUGAAUUUCAAGCUUAAGAUUAAAAAUCUUACCUUUAAUCACCAAUUUCUUGAAAAUUCAACAAAUUUUCCUUAGUUUUUCCUCCCUAGGAUUUUUCUUUUCUUUUCUUCUCUUUU
rnacentral:lncRNA from 1 species